GACGUAGGGGGCAAGCGUUGUCCGGAUUUAUUGGGCGUAAAGAGCUCGUAGGCGGCUCAGAAAGUCGGGUGUGAAACCUCCAGGCUCAACCUGGAGACGCCACCUGAUACUGCUGUGGCUAGAGUCCGGUAGGGGAGCACGGAAUUCCCGGUGUAGCGGUGAAAUGCUUAGAUAUCGGGAGGAACACCAGUGGCGAAGGCGGUGCUCUGGGCCGGAACUGACGCUGAGGAGCGAAAGCGUGGGUAGCAAACAGG
rnacentral:rRNA from 2 species